GGAAGAUGCUAUUGAUUUCUUAGCUGCUAAUUGUGAUGGUGAUGCCAGGACUGCUUUGAAUGCUUUAGAGGUCUCUGCUAUCACCGCUGCAGCCCGAUCCAACUCCACCCAAAUUGACUAUUGCAAUGAAGAAGACCCCAAUGGGGAUACCGACAUCGAAUCAUCUGGGGCUGUUGUUACUCUUGAUGAUGUAAAGGAGGC
rnacentral:misc_RNA from 1 species